rnacentral:rRNA from 1 species
UACAGAGACUGCAAGCGUUAUUCGGAUUCACUGGGCGUAAAGGGUGCGCAGGCGGUCGGGUGUGUCAGACGUGAAAUCCCUCGGCUUAACCGGGGAACUGCGUCUGAUACUGGAUGGCUUGAGUUUGGGAGAGGGACGCGGAAUUCCAGGUGUAGCGGUGAAAUGCGUAGAUAUCUGGAGGAACACCGGUGGCGAAGGCGGCGUCCUGGACCAACACUGACACUGAUGAGCGAAAGCCAGGGGAGCAAACGGG